rnacentral:rRNA from 1 species
AUUGAACGCUGGCGGCAGGCUUAACACAUGCAAGUCGAGCGGAGCGGCGGACGGGGGAGUAAUGCCUAGGAAUCUGCCUGGUAGUGGGGGAUCACGUCCGGAAACGGGCGCUAAUACCGCAUAGUAUCCGAUGAGCCUAGGGCGGAGUAGCUAGUUGGUGGGGUAAAGGACUACCAAGGCGACGAUCCGUAACUGGGCGGAGAGGAGGUUCAGUCACACAGGAACUGAGACACGGUCCAGACUCCAACGGGAGGGAGCAGUGGGGAAUAUUGGACAAUGGGCGAAAGCCUGAUCCAGCCAUGCCGCGUGUUGGAAGAAGGUCUUCGGAUUGUAAAGCACUUUAAGUUGGGAGGCGUUACCAACAGAAUAAGCACCGGCUAACUUCGUGCCAGCAGCCGCGGUAAUAC